AUGAAUAAUAUUCUUAUUCAUUCUAUUAUUCAUAAUAUAAUGAAUAAUAUUCUUAGUCAUUCUAUUUUUGUACCCAUUAACCAUCCCCACUCCCCCGCCCCCACUACUCUUCCCAACUUCUGGUACCCAUCGUUGUACUCUCCAUCUUCUGGGGUUCUCAGUUUUAAUUUUUUUUUUUUUGAGACAGAGUCUUAUUCUGUUGCCCAGUGCAGUGGCACAAUCUCGGCUCACUGCAACCUCCACCUCCCGGGUUCAAGGGAUUCUCCUGCCUCAACCUCCCAAAUAGCUGGGACUACAGCUUUAACUUUUGUCCAUCUUCGUAAGACUGAAGUUCUUGGUCAACUGGAUCAACAGAUAAUUCUCCGCUGGCUGUGAUCUCUUUGGAUUUUUGUUGUGUUAUCUUUAUAUAUUAAUAUAUACAGGGUCUCACUCUGUCACUCAGGCUGCACAAUCUUGACUCACUGCAGCCUCGACCUCCUGGGUUCAAGCGAUCCUCCCACCUCAGCCUCCCAAGCAGCUGAGACCACAGGUGUGCACCACCACGCCUGGCUAAUUUUUGCACCUUUUGUAGAGAUAGGGUUUCACCAUGUUGCCCAGGUUUGUCAUUUUUGACCUCGGAUAAUUUUCUUCAUUUCUUGCCACCUCAGGUACACAUUUAAAAAGACAGUUUACAAUAUUUUGUUGGUGUUUUGUAUUAGGAGAGUUUUUCAUCAUAUGCUGUCUUCCAUAUUGUCAGAAAUGUAGUCUAGCCAUCCUUCCUGGCCCAUUUCAAACGGGUUUCUCUUAGGACCAGGAGACUUCACAUGAUGUGUGUCCUACCCUGGCCUGUGGCUUAGUCACUUGUGUAUGUGAAAUCCAUGCUCCUUGAGGGCAGGAAUAUGGUUUCCUCUUUUUCCCUUCCACAGAGUCCAGUCCAGAGUUCCACACACCAAGUCUCUGUAAAUGAAUGAAAUUGCAUAUGGGAGCUUGAGGCACCCAUGCAAACCUGUGCUGCCAGCGACUUCCACCAGAGGGCAGCGGCAGCAGAUGCCAGCGCUGGGGCAGGACUGGGCGGGGUCUCAAUCUGAUGGGCGGGGGGUGGGGGGGGGUUGGCUGGCUCCCUGUGGCUCCAAUACCUGCCGAAUCAAAUGCCUACACCCACCUUUAAGACCAAGCCCAAUGGAGGAAGACUCCUCCCUAUUCCACAUGUGGGGGAAAUGAAGACAAGCAAGGAUGCAGGAAGUGGAAGGCCAGGGGAGCUGGACCUGCUAUGGGGCCAACUGGGGCAGGACCAGGAUUUGGAACCAAACCCCUUCUGGACUUGACCGCUUCCCAGAGUCCUGCUUGGACAACCAAAUUAUCUAUUCCUAUGUUCAUUCACGAACAUUAUUCAGCA
rnacentral:lncRNA from 13 species